rnacentral:rRNA from 1 species
CCUACGGGAGGCAGCAGUGAGGAAUAUUGGUCAAUGGACGAAAGUCUGAACCAGCCAUGCCGCGUGGAGGAUGAAGGCCCUCUGGGUCGUAAACUUCUUUUAUCAGGGAAGAAAAGUACUAUUUCUAUGGUAUCCGACGGUACCUGAUGAAUAAGCACCGGCUAACUCCGUGCCAGCAGCCGCGGUAAUACGGAGGGUGCAAGCGUUAUCCGGAUUUACUGGGUUUAAAGGGUGUGUAGGCGGACUGGAAAGUCAGAGGUGAAAUCUCCGAGCUUAACUCGGAAACUGCCCCUGAUACUAUUAGUCUUGAAUAUCGUUGAGGUAGGCGGAAUACAACAUGUAGCGGUGAAAUGCUUAGAUAUGUUGUAGAACACCGAUUGCGAAGGCAGCUUACUAAACGAUGAUUGACGCUGAGGCACGAAAGCGUGGGGAUCAAACAGGAUUAGAUACCCUGGUAGUCCACGCCCUAAACGAUGAUUACUCGUCAUUGGCGAUACACUGUCAGUGACUAAGCGAAAGCAUUAAGUAUCCAC